GACGAACGCUGGCGGCGUGCUUAACACAUGCAAGUCGAACGGAAAGGCCCUGCUUUUGUUGGGUGCUCGUGUGGCGAGCGGGUGAGUAACACGUGAGUAACCUGCCCUUGACUUUGGGAUAACUUCUGGAAACUCGGGCUAAUAUCGGAUAGAAGCUCCUGCUGCAUGGUGUGGGUUGGAGAGAUUCGGCGGUUGGGGAUGGACUCGCGGCUUAUCAGCUUGAUGGUGUGGUAGUGGCUUACCAAGGCUUUGACGGGUAGCCGGCCUGAGCGGGUGAGCGGCCACAUUGGGACUGAGAUACGGCCCAGACUCCUACGGGAGGCAGCAGUGGGGAAUAUUGCACAAUGGGCGGAAGCCUGAUGCAGCAACGCCGCGUGCGGGAUGACGGCCUUCGGGUUGUAAACCGCUUUCGCCGGUGACGAAGCGUGAGUGACGGUAAUGGGUAAAGAAGCACCGGCUAACUACGUG
rnacentral:rRNA from 1 species